GGAGAUGUACUCAAGUUGGUGACGAGGCGCCCCUGCUAAGGGCGUAGGCUGGGAAACUGGCGCGAGAGUUCGAGUCUCUCCAUCUCCGCCA
rnacentral:tRNA from 1 species